AGAAGUCCAGGGCUAGGAGCCUCAGCCGGCGGACGCCAGGAAACAGGCUCCCUCUGCAGUGGAAUUACCCUUAUGUCUUUUCUGUCUAUGCUGAUCCACCUGAUCUUGAACUGGUGCUAUUCCAUGGGGAAAAUUGGAACAUGGGGCAAUUAACACUUUCUCCACUUUAUCCCAUCAACAGGAAAUUGAAAUAUAACCAACUAACUCAGGAGACAUCAUGGAAGAUGUCACACAGUGAAUGAUGAUGAAGCAGAAUUUUUAAAAUGUGUAGGAUUACGAGAAGUGGGGUCAUUUUUCUUUGUGUAUGGUAUUGCUGAUGCAGUUUAAUGCUCCAUUACUUCUAAAUUUUCAUCAUAAGCUAGAUUUUCCAGUUGUGGUUUCUAUAAAGAAAAACAAACAUUCUGAAGACAGUUUUUCCAGAUUUAUUCCAGAUAUCGAUGAUUAACUUUUGAAGGUCUAGGUUAAUAGCAGGUAAUUGUGACAAGUCCAGUGUGGGUUACUGGUCAUGAAGAAUCCAUUGUUGAUGACAUCCCAGAAGAGAACACUAAGUCUUAGCUUUCAUCUUACCCCUGAACUUCCCUUCCUCUGAAGCAGGAUAUUGGAGACACCUGAUUUAUAUCACGAUGCAUAAAGCCAUGUUGUGUUGGAGGCCCAAGAAGCCAAGUUUAUGUUAAAUAAAAAUGAGUUAAAACGUCUAGAAAA
ensembl:lncRNA LINC00879 long intergenic non-protein coding RNA 879